UACGUAGGGGGCAAGCGUUGUCCGGAAUCAUUGGGCGUAAAGCGCGUGUAGGCGGUUCGGUAAGUCUGCUGUGAAAGUCCAGGGCUCAACCCUGGGAUGCCGGUGGAUACUGUCGAACUAGAGUACGGAAGAGGCGAGUGGAAUUCCCGGUGUAGCGGUGAAAUGCGCAGAUAUCGGGAGGAACACCAAUGGCGAAGGCAGCUCGCUGGGACGUGACUGACGCUGAGACGCGAAAGCGUGGGGAGCAAACAGG
rnacentral:rRNA from 1 species